UUCAGUGCCUUGAUUAAAAGUGACUACUUGAAAGUGGCCAGAUGCCGAGCUGAGCUAUAAGUCUGUGCAUGACACUGGCACCACAUGCCUUUUGGGCAGUCGCAAAUUCCUGUGUCUGGUGAUGCAAUUAUUUGAUCUUUGUUCGAUUGUGUUAUGUGAUGCAAGAGGGAUCCUGGACAAGUGCCUGCUCCUUAUGGACGCAAGAUGGUUGGAAGUUCCACAGCUCACACGGCGACCAAGGAACAAAGAACCACACUCCUGCUGGACCUGGGGUCGCUGAUGAUCACGGAGGCGAGACGCGGCGUCGUUAUGCUCAGGGUUAUCUCUGCUUGCUGUGUCUCCCUUCAGCUGUAGGAUGUUGCUUUAGCUGGUUCUGUUUUGAUGGAUGUCAUGGUUGCCUAUCAAGGCAUGUAGGAGUGGACUUGGAUGUUGCUCUGUUUCUAUGACAUGGGACAGGGAGAAGAGCCCUUUGAUCUACAAAAUGUGACACUAGAGGGAUUCCACCCACAAUUAACAAGU